CCAACAGGGAUUGCCUCAGUAACGGCGAGUGAAGCGGCAACAGCUCAAAUUUGAAAUCUGGCCUCGCGGUCCGAGUUGUAAUUUGCAGAGGAUGUCUCGGGCGCGGCGCCGGUCUAAGUUCCUUGGAACAGGACGUCACAGAGGGUGAGAAUCCCGUACGCGAYCGGCCGUCAACCCCGUGUGAGGCUCCUUCGACGAGUCGAGUUGUUUGGGAAUGCAGCUCUAAAUGGGUGGUAAAUUUCAUCUAAAGCUAAAUACCGGCCAGAGACCGAUAGCGCACAAGUAGAGUGAUCGAAAGAUGAAAAGCACUUUGGAAAGAGAGUUAAAAAGUACGUGAAAUUGUUGAAAGGGAAGCGCUUGCAACCAGACUUGCCCGCGGGUGAUCAGCCGUCCUUCGGGGCGGUGCACUCGCCCGCGAUCAGGCCAGUAUCGGUUUCGGCAGCCGGACAAAGGCCCCGGGAACGUAGCUCCUCUCGGGGAGCGUUAUAGCCCGGGGUGCAAUACGGUUAGCCGGGACCGAGGACCGCGCUUCGGCUAGGAUACUGGCGUAAUGGUUGUCAGCGACCCGUCGUGAGACACG
rnacentral:rRNA from 1 species